rnacentral:rRNA from 1 species
UAACACAUGCAAGUCGAGCGGUAACAGGGGUAGCUUGCUACCCGCUGACGAGCGGCGGACGGGUGAGUAAUGCAUAGGAAUCUGCCCGAUAGUGGGGGAUAACCUGGGGAAACCCAGGCUAAUACCGCAUACGUCCUACGGGAGAAAGGGGGCUUCGGCUCCCGCUAUUGGAUGAGCCUAUGUCGGAUUAGCUAGUUGGUGAGGUAAAGGCUCACCAAGGCAACGAUCCGUAGCUGGUCUGAGAGGAUGAUCAGCCACAUCGGGACUGAGACACGGCCCGAACUCCUACGGGAGGCAGCAGUGGGGAAUAUUGGACAAUGGGGGCAACCCUGAUCCAGCCAUGCCGCGUGUGUGAAGAAGGCCCUCGGGUUGUAAAGCACUUUCAGCGAGGAAGAACGCCUAUCGGUUAAUACCCGGUAGGAAAGACAUCACUCGCAGAAGAAGCACCGGCUAACUCCGUGCCAGCAGCCGCGGUAAUACGGAGGGUGCAAGCGUUAAUCGGAAUUACUGGGCGUAAAGCGCGCGUAGGUGGCUUGAUAAGCCGGUUGUGAAAGCCCCGGGCUCAACCUGGGAACGGCAUCCGGAACUGUCAGGCUAGAGUGCAGGAGAGGAAGGUAGAAUUCCCGGUGUAGCGGUGAAAUGCGUAGAGAUCGGGAGGAAUACCAGUGGCGAAGGCGGCCUUCUGGACUGACACUGACACUGAGGUGCGAAAGCGUGGGUAGCAAACAGGAUUAGAUACCCUGGUAGUCCACGCCGUAAACGAUGUCGACCAGCCGUUGGGUGCCUAGAGCACUUUGUGGCGAAGUUAACGCGAUAAGUCGAC